rnacentral:lncRNA from 10 species
UUCGCUCUUAUUGCCUAGGCCAGAGUGCAAUGGCACAAUCUCAGCUGACUGCAACCUCCGCCUGCUGGGUUCAAGCGAUUCUCCUGCCUUAGCCUCCCAAGUAGCUGUGAUUACAGGCAUGUGCCACCACACCUGGCAAAUUUUUUGUAUUUUUAGUAGAGACGAGGUUUCUCCAUGUUGGCCAGGCUGGUCUGGAGUCCUUGACCUCAGCCUCGGCCUCCC